AAAAAACUUGAAUUUGCUAAUGGAAGUGCUCCAUAACCACCAAAAUUGGAUAAAAUGAAUAUGUUAUGGUGUCAAUACAACAAUACAGCCGUUUCGUGGAUUGUUCAUUCAGUAUCAUCUCUCUUGAUCAGACAGAGUAUUCUCUGGAUGUACAAGGCUGAUGAAAUUUCGAAAGAUUUGAAAUUACACUACUCAUAUUUACAACAAGAAGCAUCUUGGAGAAAACAAGAUCAACAAUACAAGUUGUACGUGGAUUAAAUGAUCUCCUUUUUCUUAGUUCUCGGUACUAGGGCCGACCCCAUCCACUAUAGUAAUAUCAGGUGAUGGUUAACACUAGGUGAAUUUUCUUAGUGAGAAAGUUGUAUUUUAUUUUA
rnacentral:sRNA from 1 species